rnacentral:tRNA from 1 species
UAGUGGGUGGUCAGCACGAUGGUGUGGCCUUCGCGAUUCAGGCGCGAGAUGAACUUCCAGAGCGUCUGGCGCAGUUCGACGUCCACGCCCGCGGUC